UUAUCUUUUCUAAAACUGCGCUUGACGUUUUAGUCUCUGUACGUGGAUGAUGGAACUUCAUUGGAAAACGGGCAGGGAUCUAAAUUUUGUAGUUAAAAGAUUUCAGGCUGUUGCACCUGAAGUGGAAAAUGUUGUGGACAAUGCUUUUUUCGUAGCACAGUUUAGUCUCUCAAGAAGCAUGGCCACCUUCCUCUCACCAUCAAGGGUCUGUCUUCAGUCGUACAAAGGCUAAGGAAAAUCCAUAACCCCUUGUGGUGCAGUGAAUGCACUUGUGUUGGUCAGAGAGAUGCCAGCUGUAUGACGAGUGACCUCAGUUCUGCAUCCUUAGCUGAAGCUAAUAAUAAUGUUAAGGACCUGGAUGCCGUCAGAAAUAGGUAUUCAUUCCAUAUCUGUGGCUGAGAGAAUCACUUCUUUCUUUUGGACCAGCCAUAUUUUUGUACCUGUGUGCAUAUUUUCUUUCCAACCAUUUUCUAACAACCAUCUUUAAAUGGAGUUUACUGUCGUGGCACUUAAACCCUAUAUUUGACUCCUCUCUUUUGCCAUUAAAGUAUAUACACUGAA